GGCUGGUUUGUGGACGUAGGCCUUAUCAACCCGGUCAGGUCCGGAAGGAAGCAGCCGUCGUAAGAUCCCUGCGGGUCACGUUAAGCACGCCCC
rnacentral:SRP_RNA from 1 species